GCAAACAUAAACAAGCUUAGCCAUGGCC
rnacentral:sRNA from 1 species